UACGGGGGGGGCAAGCGUUGUUCGGAAUUACUGGGCGUAAAGGGCUCGUAGGCGGCCAACUAAGUCCGACGUGAAAUCCCAAGGCUUAACCUUGGAACUGCGUCGGAUACUGGAUGGCUUGAAUUCGGGAGAGGGAUGCAGAAUUCCAGGUGUAGCGGUGAAAUGCGUAGAUAUCUGGAGGAACACCAGAGGCGAAGGCGGCCGACUGGACCUGACCUGACGCUGAGGCGCGAAGGCGUGGGGAGCGAACGGG
rnacentral:rRNA from 1 species